AUUGAACGCUGGCGGCAGGCCUAACACAUGCAAGUCGAACGAGUGGCGGACGGGUGAGUAAUGUCUGGGAAACUGCCCGAUGGAGGGGGAUAACUACUGGAAACGGUAGCUAAUACCGCAUACCAUCGGAUGUGCCCAGAUGGGCUGAGCUAGUAGGUGGGGUAACGGCUCACAGAGGCGACGAUCCCUAGCUGGUCUGAGAGGAUGACCAGCCAAACGGGAACGGUGACACGGUCAAGACUCCUACGGGAGGCAGCAGUGGGGAAUAUUGCACAAUGGGCGUAAGACUGAUGCAGCCAUGCCGCGUGUAUGAAGACGGCCUUCGGGUUGUAAAGUACUUUCAGCGAGGAGGCGUUACUAGCAGAAGAAGCACCGGCUAACUCCGUGCCAGCAGCCGCGGUAAUAC
rnacentral:rRNA from 1 species